rnacentral:rRNA from 1 species
CAGCCGCCACGGUAAUACGUAGGGUGCGAGCGUUAAUCGGAAUUACUGGGCGUAAAGCGUGCGCAGGCGGUUUUGUAAGACAGGCGUGAAAUCCCCGGGCUCAACCUGGGAAUGGCGCUUGUGACUGCAAAGCUAGAGUGCGGCAGAGGGGGAUGGAAUUCCGCGUGUAGCAGUGAAAUGCGUAGAUAUGCGGAGGAACACCGAUGGCGAAGGCAAUCCCCUGGGCCUGCACUGACGCUCAUGCACGAAAGCGUGGGGAGCAAAUGGGAUUAGAUACCCCUGUAGUCCCUGUCUCUUAUAC